GCAGAAACGCCUCUGAUUGGUUUAGUACCACCAGAGGACCCAGAGCGGGGGUGGGGGUUUCCAUUUAAGGUGGAAAUAUUUUCCCUCCAAAACCGGUCGUGCUGAUCAACAAAACUCUUCCUGCGGCUGGGUCCAUGUCCUCGGCAAAUGGAAGUUGGGAGGAGACUCGGUUCUUCUGCACACCAGAGGGAUGAUCCGGCAGCUUCGCAGAGUAGAACAUCCCUCAGGAGCCCAGCACUGUCUUUUCGAAGCCGUGCGGCAAACUCUAUGGCCGGACCGCAACGACCGGACCGAACGUCUCUGUAAAUAUUCGGUGGCCGACAGUUCUCCCUCGCCAAACACGCCUGGGUCAGGAGAGGCCGCAACCUCCUGCAUAACUACGCAGAUCCUCCUUAAACCCCAGGCGGGUUUGGUGGGAUCUUGUGGUGAGGGCUUCACCUCUGUGGGCCUGGGAAUACCUCCAGCUCCCAUCAGAUGGCGACCCCACCACCCUCCCCCCCGCCUCCCCUCUAGUGGGGGGAGGAGGGCUCCUUCCCCAUUUCAACGGCCGCCUCGCGCGCCACCGGGAAUCCGCGCCGAAGCAGAGCGCAUGGCUUCUUCGGCUGGAAUGAGAAGCCGGGAAAGCGCGUGACGCGGGGUCUUCGGUGGGGACGGUGCGCGCACGGUGCGGAGGACGGGGAUUUGCGCGCCGCUCCUCAUGGAGGCUUGCAGGAAAGGCGUGUUGGAGGAGAGCCGCUUCAUCGCUGGAGGGGGGAGGUGGGGGGGGGAGGAUCGCACCCGGGCUCUUGGGAAUCCGAGCGCUUUAUUCAGCAGAAAAGCCCCUAGAACACGAUACGCACCCGACGUGCGCGUCUUGGCACGAGGCGCGUCGCGCUCUUCUCCACGCACAGCACUUUUGGACCGAGCGGACCGCGCGGAGACCAGCGGCUGAGGAGGAGGAGGAUCGAGGCGCGCGCGGCGCCGAGAGAAACGCGCAGCGACGGAGCGGAGAUUGUGCGGGACAAGCAUGCGCUCGGCCCACCUUGCCGGGGGAGGGCGACUCCAAGGCCGCUGCGUUCGCACUCGCUGCAGGCCCCCCGUAGCUCGAGCCGCACUUUUCUGGAAAGUUCUGAUGAGAAAUGACACGUGAGUUAUUUUCAAAGAGCCGGUUUGCGCCUUUGCGCUGCAGUCAUAACAUGGUAUUUUUUUUCCAAAUAAACAAGCCUUUUCCGUCGAUAUUAAUGGCUUAAAAGGCCCCCUUUGCGCGCAAAUUUAUGAGGGACGAAUGAGACGUGCGGCACUUUGUAAAGUUUUUAUACAUACAGUGUCUGAAUAAUCGCGUUAUGAAGGAAAACGAAAAUAAUAUAGUGUCCGUUUCAUUGGAAGUGACGCAGAUUACGGUUGGUUUUUUUUUUACAAUUGUCAGCAAAAGGUCGGUUUUAUUUCUUUUUAGGGUGAGGGAAAUCAAACACACGUGUUCAGUGCUAAUUUUACUGUUAGAUGUGGUUACGCUAAAUGAGGAAAUGUUACUAUGACCUGAAAUAGGGCCUCGACAUGAAAUAUUGACGCCAAACCUGGCAUUUUGUGCGCGCGGAGCUGCGCCGAAACACACACUUUGUAAAAACGUUCGUGUUUCACUCCACUUGUUCUUCUAUUAUUGUGAAAUUGAUCAAAUCCGAGCUCCCGUGAAUUAUUAAUAUUGCACGAGCUCACAGUUUUUACAUUUGUGGGUGAAACCAGUCCAGCUCUGCGUUCAUCUCAACAUCAUCAUCGUCGUUUCUGCCCUUUUGAAAAAUAGAGACAAAAGUUUAAUUACGUUACAAUGUUGCAAAAAAAAAAAAAAAUCGUCACUUUCGUAUUUUGCUCCAAAAUAUUUAAUACGUUUUUCGAACAUGGUAAAGCACUGUGAAAAUACUGGACUCCACGAGCCUGAAUGAAUUGGCAAUUAUUUGUCUUAUGAAAGCACGUUCUGUUCUACGCAAAAACAAGAAAAAUGUUGUUUGGAAAUUAAGGACAUUUUUAAACGGUAUUUUACAAUGUUUUUAAGACGUACAAAUGCGGUUAGUACAAUGUAAUAACAGUAGUGUAAUAUAUUAUAAUAUAACAGAUUUGAAAAACGGACAAAGGAGCAGCCAGUUGGAACUACUGUGCAGUUCUCGUGUGUUGUACUUUUAGAAAAUAAAAAUGUGUUUUAACACUGAUGUAAUACUGUAAUUGUAAUAUUUUGUGCAGAGGCGUUAAACCUGUCUUUACGGGGUACGAACCACGUGUUUUAUUUAUUUAUGUAUUUGUUUUGUUUCUUGCAAAGGCGAACGAGUUUUGCCCGCGCAGUGUUUCCGUUGUACGUUUAUCACGGUGAAAAUCAUGGGCAAUUUUGCAGUGAUUUCAGAACAGAACUCGCAUAUCCAUGAAGAGCUGGGGCUCAGGAAUGUUGAACCGGGGCGCCGCAAAAACUGAAACAUGUUCAGAGGAACAUAAACUUGUGUUGUUUAUGUAAUUAGUCUGUAAUCAUUAUUUUUAUGCAUGUUUUGCUUACUGUAAAUAAUAAUAAAAUCGAAGCACUGGACGCAC